rnacentral:rRNA from 1 species
CGUACACUCCUGCGGGAGGCAGCAGUGGGGAAUAUUGCACAAUGGGCGCAAGCCUGAUGCAGCCAUGCCGCGUGUAUGAAGAAGGCCUUCGGGUUGUAAAGUACUUUCAGCGGGGAGGAAGGCGAUAAGGUUAAUAACCUUGUCGAUUGACGUUACCCGCAGAAGAAGCACCGGCUAACUCCGUGCCAGCAGCCGCGGUAAUACGGAGGGUGCAAGCGUUAAUCGGAAUUACUGGGCGUAAAGCGCACGCAGGCGGUCUGUCAAGUCGGAUGUGAAAUCCCCGGGCUCAACCUGGGAACUGCAUUCGAAACUGGCAGGCUAGAGUCUUGUAGAGGGGGGUAGAAUUCCAGGUGUAGCGGUGAAAUGCGUAGAGAUCUGGAGGAAUACCGGUGGCGAAGGCGGCCCCCUGGACAAAGACUGACGCUCAGGUGCGAAAGCGUGGGGAGCAAACAGGAUUAGAUACCCGAGUAGUCCC